CAGGUCUAGCUUGCUAGAUGCUGACGAGUGGCGACGGGUGAGUAACGCGUGGGAAUCUGCCUUCUAGUGGGGGAUAGCCCGGAGAAAUCCCGGAUUAAUACCGCAUACGCCUACGGGGGAAANCCGGGGGAUCUUCGGACCUGGCGCUAGUAGAUGAGCCCGCGUGAGAUUAGCUUGUUGGUGGGGUAAUGGCCUACCAAGGCAACGAUCUCUAGCUGGUCUGAGAGGACGAUCAGCCACACUGGGACUGAGACAGGCCCAGACUCCUACGGGAGGCAGCAGUGGGGAAUAUUGGACAAUGGGCGAAAGCCUGAUCCAGCAAUGCCGCGUGUGUGAAGAAGGCCUGAGGGUUGUAAAAGCACUUUCAAUCGUGAAGAAAAGUUGCAGGCUAAUACCCUGUGACCUUGACGUUAACGAUACAAGAAGCACCGGCUAACUCCGUG
rnacentral:rRNA from 1 species